CUUCCAGUAGCACCUUAGAGAUCAACUAAGUUUGUUAUUGGUAUGAGCUUUCGUGUGCAUGUAUCAUACCAAUAACAAACUCAAUUGGUCUCUAAGGUGCUACUGGAAG